UUAAUUGAAACCAAAUAGAGGUAUAUCACUGUUAAUGAUACCAUUGAAUUCUAAACUCCAAUUAAA
rnacentral:tRNA from 1 species